rnacentral:lncRNA from 1 species
UUUUUGUAUUAUGAUUGAUUCAAGAUCCAGAUCCAAACCAUUUGGAUCAAUAAUAACUUUGGUAAAUUGUUCGCAACUCCUUCGUAAGUCAAAUAGAGUAAGUGUUAAUUUUCAACUUUAGAUAUGAGAUUUUGGUUAAUAUCACUGGUUUGGUUGAACCUAUAUGGGUGUUAAAGGGGCUAAUUUUUAAUGAUUGAUCUCUUUUGGGUAUA